GGGGGAGAGGGAGAGGACGAACAUGGACUUCCCCGUUUACCGCGCUGUCGUCACCAACACCGGGUUUCUCGGGGUGCAGAUCGAGAGCGUGGAGGUGCGGGCCACGGAGAGUAGCCGAGGCUACCCCCUGAAAAGGGAGGGGUCCAGACCCCCGCAGAAACUCUCCGACGGGGACGCCGAGGUAUG
rnacentral:misc_RNA from 1 species